rnacentral:rRNA from 1 species
AUCUACGGCCAUACCACCCUGAACGCGCCCGAUCUCGUCUGAUCUCGGAAGCUAAGCAGGGUCAGGCCUGGUUAUCACUUGGAUGGGAGAAAAGUAUAGUUCCUGGUAAAGAUAUUCAUUUUGGGAGUUGAAGAAA